rnacentral:RNase_P_RNA from 1 species
AGAGUUAGCUAGACAGUCGCUGUAUUAAGACUUUGUCUUGAUACAGAGGAAAGUCCGGGCUCCACAGGGCAAAGUGCCAGGUAAUUCCUGGGAGGUGUAAGCCUACGGAAAGUGCCACAGAAAAUAUACCGCCUACUAAUGAUACUCACAGCAAUUGGGUUUUGAGAAGACGCCGCGAAAGUCAUGAACCGUAGUGUAUGAAAAUACAUGAGGAUUGCGAAUUGAGUGGCAACACAGACAAAAAUUCAAGUGCGUAUAGUGUAAAAUACUAGGUAAGGGUGAAAAGGUGCGGUAAAAGCGCACCGCGUCAUUGGUAACAAUGAUGGCAGGGCAAACCCCACUUGGAGCAAGACCAAAUAGGAACCUAUUUUGGCGUGGCCCACGUCAGGUUCGGGUAGGUCGCUUGAGGUAUAGAGUGAUCUAUAUCCUAGACGAAUGACUGUCCUCGACAGAACCCGGCUUAUCGGCUGACUUUCAAC